rnacentral:rRNA from 1 species
UACAGAGGGUGCAAGCGUUAAUCGGAAUUACUGGGCGUAAAGCGCGCGUAGGCGGUUUGUUAAGUCGGAUGUGAAAUCCCUGGGCUCAACCUAGGCAUUGCAUCCGAUACUGGCUAACUAGAGUGUGGGAGAGGAAGGUAGAAUUCCACGUGUAGCAGUGAAAUGCGUAGAUAUUGGGAGGAACACCAGUGGCGAAGGCGGCUCACUGGACCGGUACUGACGCUGAUGCGCGAAAGCGUGGGGAGCAAACAGG